AUGGCGGCCACUCUAGGCGCAUCCCCUUGCCCGCUCGUCGGCCCGGUCCCCUUCAAGGGCGUCGGCGACGGUGAUGACCAUGCCGUCUCCCCGCCGGAAGAGUACGCGGACGUCAUCUCCGCCAUGCCUACCAUCACCGUGCGCGGAGGCCUGGUGAUGCGCCAGAACCAGGGCGCCUGGCAGGUCCACCAGUGGGUGGCGGGGUCCUCUCUUUCCAGCGGCGCUCCGCCUCAACCCGCACGACUGCGUCCCUCUGGUCGACAGCCUCUUCAGCGCCGGCCAGGAGACCAAGCUGGACGCGCUGCCGUCGCCCAGGCUGAUCAACACGCACGUCCACCACUCCCUCCUGUCGCCCACAGCCCAGACUGCAAGAUCGUCCACGCCUGCAGGAAGCCCAAGGAUAUGCUGAUUUCGCUGUGGCACUUGUACGAAAGCUUGGUGACGGCAGAGGGCGGCACCUACGCGUUCUCCGACCUGUUCGAGAACGCGUGCCAGGGCAAGCACCCCAACGGCCCCAUCUGGGACCACGUCCUCGGCUACUGGCAGGCGAGCAGAGCCAGCCCGGAGAGGAUCCUCUUCCUGCGGUACGAGGAGAUGCUGCGCGACCCGGUCGGCAACGUCAGGGAGCUGGCGCGGAUUCUCGGAGUGCCGUUCACGGCGAUCGAGGAGGCGGCGGGGCUGCCGGCGGACAUCGUGACGCUGUGCAGCAUCGAGACGCCGAGGGGCCUCGGCGCCAAGAAGACCGUCUUUGUCAAGUUCCCGCACGCGUUCUUCUUCAGGAAAGGGGUUAUCGUUAUUUGGUUCAAGAAGUAA
rnacentral:rRNA from 1 species